rnacentral:rRNA from 1 species
AGUCCUACGGGAGGCAGCAGUGGGGAAUUUUGGACAAUGGGCGCAAGCCUGAUCCAGCUAUUCCGCGUGUGGGAAGACGGCCUUCGGGUUGUAAACCACUUUUGUAGAAAACGAAAAGUCUAUUGAUAAUACCGAUAGAUGAUGACGGUACUCUAAGAAUAAGCACCGGCUAACUACGUGCCAGCAGCCGCGGUAAUACGUAGGUGGCGAGCGUUAUCCGGAAUGAUUGGGCGUAAAGGGUGCGUAGGCGGCCUGCUAAGUCUGGAGUGAAAGGUACCGGCUCAACCGGUACAGGCUCUGGAAAC